AUAAGGAUUUGUGAUUAUCCUGAAGUACCGAUGAAAUCCGGUGCAAAGAAGAGCAAGAGUUUCUGUCUCUGAGACUGCCUUGCCUUUUCCAAUCUUUCACAGCGAGAAUGGCUGUGAGGUGGUAUGGGGGAAUUGAAUACUGGUCAAAGAACUUUCAGUUAUGAAACGAGUAUGUUCUGGGGAUCCUCAGUAUGGUGACUAGAGUGGUGCUUCUUAUUGACUGAUCUCAAGCCAAAGUCAGAACAAAAGAAACACUUAAUUCACUUAAUUCAGACAAUGAUGUUGGUCUAAUGGGUUAUAGACCAGAGUGGAGAAGAUCAGAAAAAAGAUGUGAAGAG